rnacentral:rRNA from 1 species
CCUACGGGUGGCAGCAGUGAGGAAUAUUGGUCAAUGGGCGUGAGCCUGAACCAGCCAAGUCGCGUGAGGGAGGACGGCCCUACGGGUUGUAAACCUCUUUUGCCGGGGAGCAACGGGCGCUACGUGUAGCGUUACGGAGAGUACCUGGAGAAAAAGCAUCGGCUAACUCCGUGCCAGCAGCCGCGGUAAUACGGAGGAUGCGAGCGUUAUCCGGAUUUAUUGGGUUUAAAGGGUGCGUAGGCGGAUUGUGAAGUCAGCGGUAAAAUCGAGGGGCUCAACCCCUUCCCGCCAUUGAAACUGGCGUUCUUGAGUGGGAGAGAAGUAUGCGGAAUGCGUGGUGUAGCGGUGAAAUGCAUAGAUAUCACGCAGAACCCCGAUUGCGAAGGCAGCAUGCCGGCUUCCGACUGACGCUGAAGCACGAAAGCGUGGGGAUCGAACAGGAUUAGAUACCCUAGUAGUC